rnacentral:sRNA from 1 species
AACCCAGCCUACCUGCUGUAGCUGCCGCCACUGCCGCCUCCGCCGCCACUGGGCCCCCAGAGCCCCAGCCCCAGAGCCCAGGAACCUGGGGCCCGCUCCUCCCCCCUCCAGGCCAUGAGGAUUCUGCAGUUAAUCAUGCUUGCUCUGGCGACAGGGCUCGUAGGGGGAGAGACCAGGAUCAUCAAGGGGUCCGAGUGCAAGCCUCAUUCCCAGCCCUGGCAGGCAGCCCUGUUCGAGAAGACGCGGCUGCUCUGUGGGGCAACCCUCAUCUCCCCCAGAUGGCUCCUGACAGCAGCCCACUGCCGCAAGCCGUGGCCACUACAUAGUUCACCUGGGGGAACACAACCUCCAGAAGGAGGAGGGCUGUGAGCAGACCCGGACAGCCACUGAGUCCUUCCCCCACCCCGGCUUCAACAACAGCCUCCCCAACAAAGACCACCGCAAUGACAUCAUGCUGGUGAAGAUGGCAUCGCCAGUCUCCAUCACCUGGGCUGUGCAACCCCUCACCCUCUCCUCACGCUGUGUCACUUCUGGCACCAGCUGCCUCAUUUCCGGCUGGGGCAGCACAUCCAGCCCCCAGUGUAGGAGCUCCAGAGGGGAACCUGGCAGGGGGUGGUGAGGAGGGGGUGGUCAGGAUUGUGGAAGGGUUCAGGGGAUCAGAGAUGCGGUUCACAGUGACGAUGGUGGGAUAAGUUGAGAGGAUGUGUGGAAAACGUCAGGACAGGGGAGGGUGGGGACAAAAGUUGGGGCCUAGGAGUCAGACGGACGGGAUAUGCAGUCAUACAUCCAUAACCUCCUGUUGUAAGACCUUAGGCAAGCAGCUUCACCUCUCUGAAUCUUGAUUUUCUUCUCUAUAAAAUGAGAAUAAUUAUACCCACCUGUCAGGAUUGGAUUAGAGAUAAUGUAUAUCAAGCAACUGGCAUAAAUCAUUUAUUGGAUAGAAGGCUGGGCAUGGUGGCUCACGCCUGUAAUCCCAGCACUUUGGGAGGCCGAGGUGGGCAGAUCACCUGAGGUCGGGACUUUGAUACCAGCCUGGCCAACAUGGUGAAAUCCCAUCUCUACUAAAAAUACGAGAAUUAGCUGGGCGUGGUUUUGUGUGCCUGUAAUCCCAGCUACUCGGGAGGCUGAGGCAAGAGAAUCGCUUAAACUUGGGAGACGGAGGUUGCAGUGAGCCAAGAUCAUGCCACUGCACUCCAGCCUGGGCAACAGAGCAAGACUCUGUCUCAAAAAAAAAAAAAAAAAAAAAAAAAAAAAAAAAAAAAACAAAAAAAAAAACAAGCUGGAUAGCAUUGCUGCAUUGCUGUUGCUAUCGUUACAAGAAGAGAGGUGAGCUGGCUGCAUCUAAGGACAGGGAUUCCCCCAGAGGCAGGGUCACAGCAAGCACUACAUUAGGGGAGGUGGCAGGGGGCUCAUUCCCACAGCCCCUCACGCUGUUUCCACAGUACGCCUGCCUCACACCUUGCGAUGCGCCAACAUCACCAUCAUUGAGCACCAGAAGUGUGAGAACGCCUACCCCGGCAACAUCACAGACACCAUGGUGUGCGCCAGCGUUCAGGAAGGGGGCAAGGACUCCUGCCAGGGUGACUC